CUGGCCAAGGUCAUCCAUGACAACUUUGGCAUCGUGGAGGGACUCAUGACCACUGUCCAUGCCGUCACUGCCACCCAGAAGACCGUGGAUGGCCCGUCUGGGAAGAUGUGGCAUGAUGGCCGUGGGGCUCUCCAGAACAUCAUUUCCGCAUCGACUGGCACAGCCAAGGCCGUGGGCAAGGUCAUCCCCGAGCUGAACAAGAAGCUCACUGGCAUGGCCUUCCGCGUCCCCACUGCCAACGUGUCGGUGGUGGACCUGACCUGCCGUCUGGAGAAGCCGGCCAAGUAUGACGAUAUCAAGAAGGUGGUGAAGCAGGCGGCGGAUGGCCCCGUCAAGGGCAUCCUGGGCUACACUGAGCAUCAGGUUGUCUCCUCCGACUUCAACAGUGACACCCACUCUUCCACCUUUGAUGCUGGUGCUGGCAUCACCCUCAAUGACGACUUUGUAAAGCUCAUUGCCUGGUAUGACAAUGAAUUUGGCUACAGCAACAGGGUGGUGGACCUCAUGGCCCACAUGGCCACCAAGGAGUAA